rnacentral:tRNA from 1 species
UUUAAGAUAAGCUAAUUUAAGCUUUUGGGUUCAUACCCCAAAUAUAAAGUAAACCAUCUUUUCUUAAAA